CAGCCGUAAACAAUGUGCGUUAGGUGUGUCGGUAACCACGCGUUACUGAUGCGCCGAAGAGAAAUCGUGAAACGCACCACCUGGGAAGUACGGUCGCAAGGCUGAAACUUAAAGGAAUUGGCGGGGGGAGCACCACAACGGGUGGAGCCUGCGGUUUAAUUGGACUCAACGCCGGAAAUCUCACCGGAUAGGACAGACAUAUGAUAGUCGGGCUGAAGACUCUACUUGAUGAUCUGAGAGGAGGUGCAUGGCGUCAGUGACU
rnacentral:rRNA from 1 species